UAGGGAAUCUUCGGCAAUGGACGGAAGUCUGACCGAGCAACGCCGCGUGAGUGAAGAAGGUUUUCGGAUCGUAAAGCUCUGUUGUUAGAGAAGAACGUUGGUAGGAGUGGAAAAUCUACCAAGUGACGGUAACUAACCAGAAAGGGACGGCUAACUACGUGCCAGCAGCCGCGGUAAUACGUAGGUCCCGAGCGUUGUCCGGAUUUAUUGGGCGUAAAGCGAGCGCAGGCGGUUCUUUAAGUCUGAAGUUAAAGGCAGUGGCUUAACCAUUGUACGCGAUGGAAACUGGAGGACUUGAGUGCAGAAGGGGAGAGUGGAAUUCCAUGUGUAGCGGUGAAAUGCGGAGAUAUAUGGAGGAACACCGGUGGCGAAAGCGGCUCUCAGGUCUGUAACAGACGCUGAGGCUCGAAAGCGUGGGGAGCAAACAGG
rnacentral:rRNA from 1 species